rnacentral:rRNA from 1 species
UACGGAGGGGGCGAGCGUUAUUCGGAAUUAUUGGGCGUAAAGGGCGCGUAGGCGGCUUGACAAGUCAAAGGUGAAAUCCCUCGGCUCAACUGAGGAACUGCCUUUGAAACUGUCUGGCUUGAGGCCGGGAGGGGGUAGCGGAAUUCCCAGUGUAGCGGUGAAAUGCGUAGAUAUUGGGAGGAACACCAGUGGCGAAGGCGGCUACCUGGACCGGUUCUGACGCUGAUGCGCGAAAGCGUCGGGUAGCAAACAGGA